UACAGGGGGUGCAAACGUUGCUCGGAAUCAUUGGGCGUAAAGGGUGCGCAGGCGGCCGUGUGUGUGAGGCGUGAAAGCCUGGAGCUUAACUCCAGAAUUGCACCUCAAACUACACGGCUAGAGCAUUGGAGAGGGUAGCGGAAUUCACGGUGUAGCAGUGAAAUGCGUAGAUAUCGUGAGGAACACCAGAGGCGAAGGCGGCUGCCUGGACAAUUGCUGACGCUCAGGCACGAAAGCGUGGGGAGCAAAAGGG
rnacentral:rRNA from 1 species